rnacentral:rRNA from 1 species
CCUACGGGAGGCAGCAGUAGGGAAUAUUGGGCAAUGGAGGCAACUCUGACCCAGCCAUGCCGCGUGCAGGAAGAAGGCGUUAUGCGUUGUAAACUGCUUUUAUAUAGGAAGAAAUAGACCUUGCGAGGUAAGUUGACGGUACUAUAUGAAUAAGCACCGGCUAACUCCGUGCCAGCAGCCGCGGUAAUACGGAGGGUGCAAGCGUUGUCCGGAUUUAUUGGGUUUAAAGGGUGCGUAGGCGGUUUAUUAAGUCAGUGGUGAAAGACGGUCGCUCAACGAUUGCAGUGCCAUUGAUACUGGUAGACUUGAGUGGGAUUGAGGUAGCUGGAAUGGAUAGUGUAGCGGUGAAAUGCAUAGAUAUUAUCCAGAACACCAAUUGCGUAGGCAAGUUACUAAGUCUCAACUGACGCUGAGGCACGAAAGUGUGGGUAUCAAACAGGAUUAGAUACCCUGGUAGUCCACACUGUAAACGAUGAUAACUAACUGUUGGCUUUCGGGUCAGUGGUACAGAGAAAUCGUUAAGUUAUCCACCUGGGGAGUACGCCGGCAACGGUGAAACUCAAAGGAAUUGACGGCUGAGAGNGCGACGACGACGACGAGGGAGGAGG